rnacentral:rRNA from 1 species
GAUCCUGGCUCAGGACGAACGCUGGCGGCGUGCCUAAUACAUGCAAGUCGAACGAGAGCGACCGGUGCUUGCACUGGUCAAUCUAGUGGCGAACGGGUGAGUAACACGUGGGUAACCUGCCCAUCAGAGGGGGAUAACAUUCGGAAACGGAUGCUAAAACCGCAUAGGUUCUUGAGUCGCAUGACUCGGGAAGGAAAAGAGGCUUCGGCUUCUGCUGAUGGAUGGACCCGCGGUGCA